CUUGCAACAAGUAGGGCGGGACACGAGAAAUCCUGUUUGAAGAUGGGGGGACCAUCCUCCAAGGCUAAAUACUCCUGAUUGACCGAUAGUGAACCAGUACUGUGAAGGAAAGGCGAAAAGAACCCCAGUGAGGGGAGUGAAAUAGAACCUGAAACCGUGUACGUACAAGCAGUGGGAGCCCUUUUGGGUGACUGCGUACCUUUUGUAUAAUGGGUCAGCGACUUAUAUUUUGUAGCGAGGUUAACUGAAUAAGGGAGCCGAAGGGAAACCGAGUCUUAACUGGGCGGUGAGUUGCAAGGUAUAGACCCGAAACCCGGUGAUCUAGCCAUGGGCAGGUUGAAGGUUGGGUAACACUAACUGGAGGACCGAACCGACUAAUGUUGAAAAAUUAGCGGAUGACUUGUGGCUGGGGGUGAAAGGCCAAUCAAACCGGGAGAUAGCUGGUUCUCCCCGAAAUCUAUUUAGGUAGAGCCUUAUGUGAAUACCUUCGGGGGUAGAGCACUGUUUCGGCUAGGGGUCCAUCCCGGAUUACCAACCCGAUGCAAACUGCGAAUACCGAAGAGUAAUGCAUAGGAGACACACGGUGGGUGCUAACGUCCAUCGUGGAGAGGGAAACAACCCAGACCGCCAGCUAAGGUCCCAAAGUCUAUAUUAAGUGGGAAACGAAGUGGGAAGGCUUAGACAGCUAGGAUGUUGGCUUAGAAGCAGCCACCAUUUAAAGAAAGCGUAAUAGCUCACUAGUCGAGUCGGCCUGCGCGGAAGAUGUAACGGGGCUAAAAUAUAGCACCGAAGCUGCGGCAUCAGGCGUAUCACAAAUACGCCUUACGAUUAACAACAUCGAAUGAAGUGAAACAGAAUAAGAUGUUGGUCAAGCACCCAACACGUUGAGUUGGCAUAAAGUGCGGAUAGAAAUCAGAGGAAUAUUUGUGAUACGCCUGUUGGGUAGGGGAGCGUUGUGUAAGCGGAUGAAGGUGAAUCGAGAGGUUUGCUGGACGUAUCACAAGUGCGAAUGCUGACAUAAGUAACGAUAAAACGAGUGAAAAACUCGUUCGCCGGAAGACCAAGGGUUCCUGUCCAACGUUAAUCGGGGCAGGGUGAGUCGGCCCCUAAGGCGAGGCUGAAAAGCGUAGUCGAUGGGAAACGGGUUAAUAUUCCCGUACUUGGUAAAGCUGCGAUGUGGGGACGGAGAAGGUUAGGUUAGCAGACUGUUGGAUGUCUGUUUAAGUUGGUAGGUGGGAAGUUUAGGCAAAUCCGGACUUCCAUAACACUGAGAGAUGAUGACGAGUUUCUACGGAAAUGAAGUAACUGAUACCACGCUUCCAGGAAAAGCCACUAAGCGAAAGGCUUUACUAAACCGUACUGAAAACCGACACAGGUGGUCAGGUAGAGAAUACUCAGGCGCUUGAGAGAACUCGGGUGAAGGAACUAGGCAAAAUAGCACCGUAACUUCGGGAGAAGGUGCGCUGGCGUAGGUUGUAAGAGUAUACCUCCGAAGGCUGAACCAGUCGAAGAUACCAGCUGGCUGCAACUGUUUAUUAAAAACACAGCACUCUGCAAACACGAAAGUGGACGUAUAGGGUGUGAUGCCUGCCCGGUGCUGGAAGGUUAAUUGAUGGUGUUAUCGAAAGAGAAGCUCCUGAUCGAAGCCCCAGUAAACGGCGGCCGUAACUAUAACGGUCCUAAGGUAGCGAAAUUCCUUGUCGGGUAAGUUCCGACCUGCACGAAUGGCAUAAUGAUGGCCAGGCUGUCUCCACCCGAGACUCAGUGAAAUUGAAAUCGCCGUGAAGAUGCGGUGUACCCGCGGCUAGACGGAAAGACCCCGUGAACCUUUACUAUAGCUUGACACUGAACAUUGAAUUUUGAUGUGUAGGAUAGGUGGGAGACUAAGAAGCAGGCACGCCAGUGCUUGUGGAGUCGUCCUUGAAAUACCACCCUUUAACGUUUGAUGUUCUAACGAAGAUUACGAAACGUGGUCUCGGACAGUGUCUGGUGGGUAGUUUGACUGGGGCGGUCUCCUCCCAAAGCGUAACGGAGGAGCACGAAGGUUUGCUAAUCACGGUCGGACAUCGUGAGGUUAGUGCAAUGGUAUAAGCAAGCUUAACUGCGAGACAGACAAGUCGAGCAGGUGCGAAAGCAGGUCAUAGUGAUCCGGUGGUUCUGAAUGGAAGGGCCAUCGCUCAACGGAUAAAAGGUACUCCGGGGAUAACAGGCUGAUACCGCCCAAGAGUUCAUAUCGACGGCGGUGUUUGGCACCUCGAUGUCGGCUCAUCACAUCCUGGGGCUGAAGUAGGUCCCAAGGGUAUGGCUGUUCGCCAUUUAAAGUGGUACGCGAGCUGGGUUUAGAACGUCGUGAGACAGUUCGGUCCCUAUCUGCCGUGGGCGUUGGAGAAUUGAGAGGGGCUGCUCCUAGUACGAGAGGACCGGAGUGGACGCAUCACUGGUGUACCAGUUGUCUCGCCAGAGGCAUUGCUGGGUAGCUAAAUGCGGAAGAGAUAAGUGCUGAAAGCAUCUAAGCACGAAACUCGCCUUAAGAUGAGUUCUCCCUAGCUAUAAGCUAGUAAGGGUUGUUGAAGACUACGACGUAGAUAGGUCUGGUGUGUAAGCGGUGUGAGCCGUUGAGCUAACAGAUACUAAUUGCCCGAGAGGCUUAACUAU
rnacentral:rRNA from 1 species